rnacentral:misc_RNA from 1 species
AAGUCGUAACAAGGUUUCCGUAGGUGAACCUGCGGAAGGAUCAUUACCUAGAGUUGCGGGCUUUGCCUGCCAUCUCUUACCCAUGUCUUUUGCGUACUAUCGUUUCCUCGGCGGGCUCGCCCGCCGUUUGGACAAUUUAAACCACUUGCAGUUGCAGUCAGCGUCUGAAAAACAUAAUAAUUACAA